AUUGAACGCUGGCGGCGUGCCUAACACAUGCAAGUCGUACGAGAAAGGGUCCUUCGGGACCUGAGUAAAGUGGCGCACGGGUGAGUAACGCGUGGAUAAUCUACCCUUCAGUUGGGAACAACUCAUCGAAAGGUGGGCUAAUACCGAAUAACACUGCAAGACCCUGGUUGAGCAGUCAAAGAGAGCCUCUGCUUGCAAGCCCUCGCUGAAGGACGAGUCCGCGUACCAUUAGCUAGUUGGUAGGGUAAUGGCCUACCAAGGCGACGAUGGUUAGCUGGUCUGAGAGGAUGAUCAGCCACACUGGAACUGAGACACGGUCCAGACUCCUACGGGAGGCAGCAGUGAGGAAUCUUGCGCAAUGGGGGAAACCCUGACGCAGCAACGCCGCGUGAGUGAGGAAGGCCUUCGGGUCGUAAAGCUCUGUCAGUUGGAAAGAAAUGCUUGAGAGUUAAUACCUUUCAAGCUUGACGGUACCAACAGAGGAAGCACCGGCUAACUACGUGCCAGCAGCCGCGGUAACAC
rnacentral:rRNA from 1 species